UCCUCGUCCGAUCCUCUCUUCCUCCUCCUCCUCCUUCCUCUCUUCGCUCUUCCCGGCUAAGGUAGGGGCCGACAAGAUCCGAACAGCUAGAGGACGCCCACGACCACCAUGGCACGGUUGGUCGGCAACAUGAGGGAAUCCGAAGGAAGAGAGAACAACACCGAGAUCUCUGAUCUUGUGUAAAGGGGUCUCCUUCUUCUGAAGCAGAGAGAUCGAGUGCAGUACAAGAAUAACGAAGUAUGUCUGCCUGUUAAAACCCUAAAAUUGCAGGCAUAAAGGCUCUCCGUGCUUCAUUUUCUCCUUCUCGGCCUCUUCGCUCGCUGGGUACACGGUCAAAACCUCUCGUUUCCUCUUUUCAUUCUUCUUAAUCGUCUGAUUGCUAAAGGUUGAGGAUGGGGUUUGGGGUUAACCUCUCUAUAAAGCGCCGAAGCCUUUUCUUUUCCCCCGACUUUCUCCUUCUCGCGACUUCGGACUUCACGCGACCGAGACCGGCGAUUUCUUCUUCUCUCGGUGGCGCCGGCGAAGAGCGGACCUUGGAGCGUUGAGAGGAAGAGAGGUUAGUUACAGCCGAACCUUCUUUCUCCCCGAUCCCUUCCUCCCUUCUCUGAUCUCGGUGAACAACGGCGACGGAUCUCGAUCGGUGGAUUUCGCCGGCUGUCGGGAGGGAACCAAGGGCAUCGGCGUUGGAUCAGGCCAGCAUCGAUUGUUUGGAGGAGGUAACAACCAUUGUUCCUUCCCGAUCUCUGUCCCUGUUCGUCGGCAAGAACAAGUCGUUGCCCUAACUUCGAUCUUGGAGAGACUGGUAUUUUGGUCCCGGCCACCACAGCUCUGUUGGAUCGAUCUCUUCUUCGUAUCAGUGAUCGUCUCCGGUGAUUGAAGGGUGCAGAGAGGAUGCGAUGUGCUUAUUUUAGAUACUGGAUUGGGAAGUGCAGAGAAUCAAGCAAGGGUCAAGGAGUUGCUUCAUGUGGAGGAAUCAAAACUAGAGGAGGAUGAGGGAAAUACCACUCCAGCAGUGAGAUGGGUUCGAGAUGAUAAAUAUGAUUGCAUCCGAUUAAAGCAUUGCAAGGUUGUGACAAAAAUUGAUUGGCAUCGGAAAGGAGACUAUUUCACUACUGUCGUUCCUAGUGAUAUCCUAAUUAUGAAUUUUAGUUGUACUUAUUUUUAGUCAUUCCUAGUGCCUAUUUUAUAUCUCAGUUUUGUUUCUUUCUUUUUUCUAAUACACACUGACAAAUUGGAAAUAUAUAAAAAUCAUGACAUUAUACCUAGUUACCUAGCCUUUGAGGCUGGAAUCAGGAUGAAACCUAAAGUGCCCUGAAAAGUUUAGGCAUACCAAAUUCUCUCAGUUUAAUGACAGAGGUGUUUUAGAUUGUAAAUUUCAUCCGAGGCAGCCAUGGCUAUUCACAGCUGGAGCAGAUUCUGUCAUUAAACUGUAUUGCCACUAAUGAUAGAUUCUCCAGGAAACUUUGAAGAAUCUCCUCGAGUCAAGAUACCUUCAAGAUAUCAAACUCUACACCUUCUAUAUGGAGCUAGAUUUGCAAAAGCCAUAUCCAACUCGAGGAAGUGACUUAUUGACAUGGGAGAGAACUUAUUGGUAACCAAGGACUUUGUGAAGAUAGCAAAUUUUGGCCUUGCUCGUGAAGUUCAUUCGAAGCCACCAUUCACAGAAUAGGUUUCAACACGCUGUUUACAAAUCUCAAGUACUCCAGAGUUGAAAUUGAUGAAGUGCAGUUCGAGUGGGCUG